UGGGGAAUAUUGCGCAAUGGGCGAAAGCCUGACGCAGCGACGCCGCGUGAGGGAUGAAGGUACUUCGGAUCGUAAACCUCUGUCAGCAGGGAAGAACGGUCACUGUGCUAAUCAGCAGUGAAUUGACGGUACCUGCAAAGGAAGCACCGGCUAACUCCGUGCC
rnacentral:rRNA from 1 species